AACAAAUCAGGAUAAAUAUAUCAACUUAUCAAGUGCAGCAACCGUUUGUUCAUUCUUGAAGCGUGCGAAUUUUACACUUUAAUGGCGGAAAAACCCUCAAUUUUGCCUGCUAACUUGAAUUCCGAUUCAUCUACCAUAAAGUGAUUCAGUUUCAAACAGUUGGUUAAUGCCAGAAUCCAUCACAAGUGAUUCAGUUUCAAACAAUAGUGCUGUUUAGGGCUAUUAGUUGCACGUUAAUCGGUCUAUGAAACAUGGGUUUUACAGCUGUUGGUGAUCUUUGAAGGUUUUAAAGAUUCCUUUUGCUUUCUUCUUUGAAUAUGAAAUGGCAUUUGUGAUUGCAACUUAAAGUUACUGCCAAAGAUGACUCUUUCUCUUGUAAUGUUUGACAAAAAAAAGACAACGGUGAUGUUUGGUGUGAAGAUAAAGAUCGAAUAUUUGUACCGUUUUGCCACUAUAAGUGGGUGUUGCAGUUCAAGUCUUUUAAAUGAGGAAACAAAAGUGCACCAUCGUCGAUUUGCACCUGCUUCCGUUUCUGGCGUCACUGUGUUUACAGGUAAACCCUCAGUCGAUCCUUCAUGAUGGCCAUGUUUUGACCGCCUAACUAUUGAAGAUGGAUCUCUAAUCUAAAAGCACAAAGAAGAGGUCAUUUGAUGCAUGCUGUAUGGGGUGGCAAAGCUCAUUGUAUUUUACAACAGGUUAAAAUCAAGGUGGCAUUUCAUAGGUCAGAUUGCAGGUCACAUUCUAAUGGUAGCGGGUCAGAUUGCAACUUAAUGUGUAACUUAUAGCUAUAAAGGUUUGUACUCAAUUUGUUGCAACAUUAUUAACCAUAUUUGUUGUUGUUUACCUAACAAAUUAUAUAGAACAAUUCGGGAACCACGGCGCAACGCGCGGGGUUUAAUACUAGCAUAUUAUAAACUUGUAACACAAAUGCGCAUCAUGUAGUUGUACAAUGUGCAAAAAGUCUUAUAUAUGUUGUAUAUGUUGUUUAAAACCUCUAUAAUUUGAUAGUCUUGAACC